UGGGGAAUUUUGCACAAUGGGGGAAACCCUGAUGCAGCGACGCCGCGUGAUUUAGAAGGCCUUCGGGUUGUAAAAAUCUUUUGUAUGGGAAGAAAAUGACAGUACCAUACGAAUAAGGACCGGCUAAUUCCGUGCCAGCAGCCGCGGUAAUACGGAAGGUCCGGGCGUUAUCCGGAUUUAUUGGGUUUAAAGGGAGCGUAGGCUGUCUAUUAAGCGUGUUGUGAAAUAUACCGGCUCAACCGGUGGCUUGCAGCGCGAACUGGUCGACUUGAGUAUGCAGGAAGUAGGCGGAAUUCAUGGUGUAGCGGUGAAAUGCUUAGAUAUCAUGACGAACUCCGAUUGCGCAGGCAGCUUACUGUAGCAUAACUGACGCUGAUGCUCGAAAGUGCGGGUAUCAAACAGG
rnacentral:rRNA from 1 species